UCUGUAAAGUCAGUUACAUCAAAGGUCAAAUUCACACAAUUUGGUGGAAACAUAACUCAAUACAGGAUGUCGACGACGAGCAUUCAUGCCUGCUUUUAGGCCGACCAGAAUAGUCAUGUUGCGAAUUAGGCCACUUUAAUCACAAUGGUAAGACAGCUGAGGAACUAGAGUAAGACAUAACCCUUGACUUUGUUUCAGCUAUCACAUCAGAAUAGACAAGAAACAAAUGACAAAUUUACACACCUUUCAUGUUGAUGUGAUACAGUAGAAUUGAAGUAUCCCUAUUUUACUUGUAUGGUGCAAAAAUGAUCGAUGAGUUGUGGCCACCAAAUCCAAAUGAGUUGGACAACGCAACCUUGAUGUCCAGUCUUUCUUUCUUUGGGCCAACGAGUACAUCCGUAUCCUGAAUUAUUAUGUCGGAAGCAUUAAUGAAUUACAAAAGGCUUCAUAUUAGCAUAACUGAUAAUAGUUGAGCUAAGGUAAGCAUACCACGCCUUUAUCUGGAUUUUCCAGGUUGAUGUUUGGAUGUACCCAUCCUGUCCGUAUUGCCUAUACAUUUAACCAAAUAUGAUAUCAAACUUAUAUAACACAAUGUGUUUUUAUGCUGA